CCCUACGGGUGGCUGCAGUGGGGAAUAUUGGACAAUGGGGGGAACCCUGAUCCAGCCAUGCCGCGUGUGUGAAGAAGGCCCUCGGGUUGUAAAGCACUUUCAGUGAGGAAGAACGCCUGGUGGUUAAUACCCAUCAGGAAAGACAUCACUCACAGAAGAAGCACCGGCUAACUCCGUGCCAGCAGCCGCGGUAAUACGGAGGGUGCGAGCGUUAAUCGGAAUUACUGGGCGUAAAGCGCGCGUAGGUGGCUUGAUAAGCCGGUUGUGAAAGCCCCGGGCUCAACCUGGGAACGGCAUCCGGAACUGUCAAGCUAGAGUGCAGGAGAGGAAGGUAGAAUUCCCGGUGUAGCGGUGAAAUGCGUAGAGAUCGGGAGGAAUACCAGUGGCGAAGGCGGCCUUCUGGACUGACACUGACACUGAGGUGCGAAAGCGUGGGUAGCAAACAGGAUUAGAUACCCUUGUAGUC
rnacentral:rRNA from 1 species